UACGAAGGGGGCUAGCGUUGUUCGGAAUUACUGGGCGUAAAGCGUGCGCAGGCGGCCUUCCAAGUCAGGGGUGAAAGCCCAGAGCUCAACUCUGGAAUUGCCUUUGAGACUGUGAGGCUUGAGUACGGGAGAGGUGAGUGGAAUUCCGCGUGUAGCAGUGAAAUGCGUAGAUAUGCGGAGGAACACCGAUGGCGAAGUCAAUCCCCUGGACCUGUACUGACGCUCAUGCACGAAAGCGUGGGGAGCAAACAGG
rnacentral:rRNA from 1 species